GCCCCGCCCUCUUCCGCCCACCGAGGCGGCGGGUAGAGUGCCGGCGGCGCGGGGCACGCCGGGACGGGGGAGGCUGGCGGCGGGCGGUGCGGUUAGGCUCGGCUCAGUUAGGCUGGCUCGGCUCGGCGAAGGCAGAAGAACCCCAGCCGCGUCGGCAGCAGCGGGGUCAGGGCGCGGGCUGUGGGUGCCAUCGCCUUGGCGGCAGCGCUCGUCCGGCCGAGGCCGUGGGCGCCGCACGGAGCCCCCGCGGCAGCCAAGGGACGGGGGGCAUCGGUGGGAUUUUCAUCGGCUUGGGUGGCAGCUGCUGCAGAAGAUGAACUGGGAUUCAAAGUAGAUUACCUUCUUCCUUCCUUCUGGUGGUGGCAGGUAUAGAAAAGCGUCAGGAAGCUCUGCACAGGGAACGAUACCUGUGUCUGCAUGCAGGUGUUGUGGCAGUCGCACACCGCAAACUGUCUUCUCACAGGAUGUUCAUGUGAAAAACCAGCAGAAUAAAAAGAGUGAAAAAAAUCA